UGGGGAAUCUUGGACAAUGGGCGAAAGCCUGAUCCAGCCAUGCCGCGUGAGUGAAGAAGGCCUUAGGGUUGUAAUGCUCUUUUGCCCGGGAAGAUAAUGACGGUACCGGGAGAAUAAGCCCCGGCAAACUUCGUGCCAGCAGCCGCGGUAAUACGAAGGGGGCUAGCGUUGUUCGGAUUUACUGGGCGUAAAGCGCACGUAGGCGGAUUGUUAAGUCGGGGGUGAAAUCCCUGGAGCUCAACUCCAGAAUUGCCUUCGAUACUGGCUUUCUAGAGGCUGGAAGAGGUUAGUGGAAUUCCCAGUGUAGAGGUGAAAUUCGUAGAUAUUGGGAAGAACACCAGUGGCGAAGGCGGCUAACUGGUCCAGAUCUGACGCUGAGGUGCGAAAGCGUGGGGAGCAACAGGAUUAGAUACCCUGGUAGUCCACGCCGUAAACUAUGGGUGCUAGCCGUCGGUGAGCUUGCUCAUCGGUGGCGCAGCUAACGCUUUAAGCA
rnacentral:rRNA from 1 species